CCUACGGGAGGCAGCAGUGAGGAAUAUUGGUCAAUGGGCGCAAGCCUGAACCAGCCAUGCCGCGUGCAGGAUGACGGUCCUAUGGAUUGUAAACUGCUUUUGUACAGGAAGAAACACUCCCUCGUGAGGGAGCUUGACGGUACUGUAAGAAUAAGGAUCGGCUAACUCCGUGCCAGCAGCCGCGGUAAUACGGAGGAUCCAAGCGUUAUCCGGAAUCAUUGGGUUUAAAGGGUCCGUAGGCGGUUUUAUAAGUCAGUGGUGAAAUCUGGUCGCUCAACGAUCAAACGGCCAUUGAUACUGUAAGACUUGAAUUACUUGGAAGUAACUAGAAUAUGUAGUGUAGCGGUGAAAUGCUUAGAGAUUACAUGGAAUACCAAUUGCGGAGGCAGGUUACUACAAGUAUAUUGACGCUGAUGGACGAAAGCGUGGGGAGCGAACAGGAUUAGAUACCCUGGUAGUCCACGCCGUAAACGAUGGAUACUAGCUGUUUGGAGCAAUCUGAGUGGCUAAGCGAAAGUGAUAAGUAUCCCACCUGGGGAGUACGCUCGCAAGAGUGAAACUNAAAUGAAUUGACGG
rnacentral:rRNA from 1 species